rnacentral:tRNA from 1 species
GGGGGCGUAGUUCAGCUGGUUAGAACGGCUGCCUGUCACGCAGGAGGUCGCGGGUUCGAGUCCUGUCGCUCCCGCCA